rnacentral:lncRNA from 11 species
UCCACCUUUCCCUUUUGCCUCUAUGCUUCAGUAGCUGCAUCUGAAAUCAUUGCUGGUAAUAUCUGCAAAGUUACACUGGAGACCAAGUCAAAAUUGAGUCUGCAGUCGGUUUCACACAAGGAAGAAGUCCGUGCCGACCCAGGUUUAAAAAACAAUGGGGGAAACUGGGUUGCAGGCACUUCUCCCCUGUGGAAUGGGGUCCUAGGUAAGUCAGCUUAUCCUCAUACAUAUCAGUAAAUGUACAACAGUAACAAAUUUA